GAUGAACGCUGGCGGCGUGCCUAAUACAUGCAAGUCGAGCGAACGGACGAGAAGCUUGCUUCUCUGAUGUUAGCGGCGGACGGGUGAGUAACACGUGGAUAACCUACCUAUAAGACUGGGAUAACUUCGGGAAACCGGAGCUAAUACCGGAUAAUAUUUUGAACCGCAUGGUUCAAAAGUGAAAGACGGUCUUGCUGUCACUUAUAGAUGGAUCCGCGCUGCAUUAGCUAGUUGGUAAGGUAACGGCUUACCAAGGCAACGAUGCAUAGCCGACCUGAGAGGGUGAUCGGCCACACUGGAACUGAGACACGGUCCAGACUCCUACGGGAGGCAGCAGUAGGGAAUCUUCCGCAAUGGGCGAAAGCCUGACGGAGCAACGCCGCGUGAGUGAUGAAGGUCUUCGGAUCGUAAAACUCUGUUAUUAGGGAAGAACAUAUGGUAGGUAACUGUGCACAUCUUGACGGUACCUAAUCAGAAAGCCACGGCUAACUACGUG
rnacentral:rRNA from 1 species